rnacentral:rRNA from 1 species
CCAGACUCCUACGGGAGGCAGCAGUGAGGAAUAUUGGUCAAUGGGCGAGAGCCUGAACCAGCCAAGUCGCGUGAAGGACGACGGUUCUAUGGAUUGUAAACUUCUUUUGUAGAGGAAUAAUGGCAGCUACGUGUAGCUGAGAUGCAUGUACUCUACGAAUAAGUAUCGGCUAACUCCGUGCCAGCAGCCGCGGUAAUACGGAGGAUACGAGCGUUAUCCGGAAUUAUUGGGUUUAAAGGGUGCGUAGGUGGCGUAUUAAGUCAGUGGUGAAAAGCUGCAGCUCAACUGUAGUCUUGCCGUUGAAACUGAUAUGCUAGAGAGGAGACGAGGUAUGCGGAAUGUGUGGUGUAGCGGUGAAAUGCAUAGAUAUCACACAGAACGCCGAUUGCGAAGGCAGCGUACCAGGCUCCGUCUGACACUGAAGCACGAAAGCGUGGGGAUCAAACAGGAUUAGAUACCCUGGUAGUCCACGCAGUAAACGAUGAAUACUAGAUUUUUGCGAUAUACUGUAAGAGUCUAAGCGAAAGCGAUAAGUAUUCCACCUGGGGAGUACGCCGGCAACGGUGAAACUCAAAGGAAUUGACGGGGGCCCGCACAAG